rnacentral:rRNA from 1 species
UAAGAGGUCCCGCCUGCCCUGUGACUGUUAACGUUUAACGGCCGCGGUAUUUUGACCGUGCGAAGGUAGCGCAAUCACUUGUCUCUUAAAUGGGGACCUGUAUGAAUGGCAUAACGAGGGUUUAGCUGUCUCCUUUCCCAAGUUAAUGAAAUUGAUCUUCCCGUGCAGAAGCGGGAAUAAGAACAUAAGACGAGAAGACCCUAUGGAGCUUUAGGCGACAGACAGACUGUACUAAAUAACCCUUAUGAAGGAACAAAGCAUACAAUUAUUAAACCUGUCCUAAUGCCUUUGGUUGGGGCGACCGCGGGGAAACAAAAAACCCCCACGUGGAAUGGGAUAACCUGUCCUCCAAACAAGAGCCCCCGCUCUAAAAAACAGAACAUCUGACCUUUAUGAUCCGGCAAAGCCGAUCAACGAACCGAGUUACCCUAGGGAUAACAGCGCAAUCCCCUUAUAGAGCCCAUAUCGACAAGGGGGUUUACGACCUCGAUGUUGGAUCAGGAUAUCCUAAUGGUGCAGCCGCUAUUAAGGUUCGUU